rnacentral:rRNA from 2 species
UGCAAGUCGAACGGGAUCUUCGGAUCUAGUGGCGGACGGGUGAGUAACGCGUGAGAAUCUAGCUUCAGGUCGGGGACAACCACGGGAAACUGUGGCUAAUACCGGAUAUGCCGAGAGGUGAAAGGCUUGCUGCCUGAAGAUGAGCUCGCGUCUGAUUAGCUAGUAGGUGUGGUAAAAGCGCACCUAGGCGACGAUCAGUAGCUGGUCUGAGAGGAUGAUCAGCCACACUGGGAYUGAGACACGGCCCAGAYUCCUACGGGAGGCAGCAGUGGGGAAUUUUCCGCAAUGGGCGAAAGCCUGACGGAGCAAUACCGCGUGAGGGAGGAAGGCUCUUGGGUUGUAAACCUCUUUUCUCAGGGAAGAAAAAAAUGACGGUACCUGAGGAAUAAGCAUCGGCUAACUCCGUGCCAGCAGCCGCGGUAAUACGGAGGAUGCAAGCGUUAUCCGGAAUGAUUGGGCGUAAAGGGUCCGCAGGUGGCUAUGUAAGUCUGCUGUUAAAGAACCUAGCUUAACUAGGUAAAAGCAGUGGAAACUACAAGGCUAGAGUGCGUUCGGGGUAGAGGGAAUUCCUGGUGUAGCGGUGAAAUGCGUAGAUAUCAGGAAGAACACCAGUGGCGAAGGCGCUCUACUAGGCCGCAACUGACANCUGAGGGACGAAAGCUAGGGGAGCGAAUGGGAUUAGAUACCCCAGUAGUCCUAGCCGUAAACGAUGGAUACUAGGCGUGGCUUGUAUCGACCCAAGCCGUGCCGGAGCUAACGCGUUAAGUAUCCCGCCUGGGGAGUACGCACGCAAGUGUGAAACUCAAAGGAAUUGACGGGGGCCCGCACAAGCGGUGGAGUAUGUGGUUUAAUUCGAUGCAACGCGAAGAACCUUACCAAGACUUGACAUGUCGCGAAUCCCUCUGAAAGGAGGGAGUGCCUUCGGGAGCGCGAACACAGGUGGUGCAUGGCUGUCGUCAGCUCGUGUCGUGAGAUGUUGGGUUAAGUCCCGCAACGAGCGCAACCCUCGUUUUUAGUUGCCAGCAUUAAGUUGGGCACUCUAGAGAGACUGCCGGUGACAAACCGGAGGAAGGUGGGGAUGACGUCAAGUCAGCAUGCCCCUUACGUCUUGGGCUACACACGUACUACAAUGCUACGGACAAAGGGUAGCUACACAGCAAUGUGAUGCCAAUCUCAGAAACCGUAGCUCAGUUCAGAUCGCAGGCUGCAACUCGCCUGCGUGAAGUCGGAAUCGCUAGUAAUUGCAGGUCAGCAUACUGCAGUGAAUUCGUUCCCGGGCCUUGUACACACCGCCCGUCACACCAUGGAAGCUGGUCACGCCCGAAGUCGUUACCCCAA